CACGAGUGGUCUUCCUGGGGAAGAGAGACCCAGCUUCAGAUGAGGGCUGGAACCCCCUAGUCCUUCCCUUUUUUUGCAAGAGGACAGAAGGAAUAGUCACCCUUUGCCCCUAUUUGCCUUACUGUGGCUGGUCAACCAGAAAACCAUUCCCAGUGGGGCAAAAGAUGGACUGAUAUCUUUCAUCCAAAGCACCGUAAGGACAGAAAAGAUAAAAAUUGAUGAAGAUCAUGUGAUGUCUGAUUUGGAGGUGUGUGAUGGAUGCCGUCAAGUUUUAAACUUUGGGGAAAUAGUUGGAAUCUCAGGGUUUCCUGUCUGCUGCCCAGUCACAGUUUCCUUUGGAUCAGUCUUUCAUGGAUUGCCAGGAAGAUGGAGGGAAGGAAUGGCGCCCCACCAUGGAAUGACCUGAGGUUUGGCCUCCCUCAGGGUCUAAUUGACUUCAGUGGAAGAGAAGUCCUUCCUCAAAGAUAACUCAACAAUCUUCCUUCAUCACAUCCUCAGCAAGGCUGAAAAGUCUUUUGUGCUCUAAGCUGUUGGCUGGUUAUUUAACUAGUGCUGCUUACAAACCUCCACUAGUUGCUGCACAUCUUGUAAUUUUUAAGAGUUUAUUUCAGCUUCUUUACGAAGUGUAAUGAAAUGGAUGAUUAGCUAAAUUCUUCCUGUAUUUUAGAAGCAUUAGUAAAUAUUGAAGAAAGGCCAAUCACGCUGUUGCUGUCAAAGGAAUUUUGAAAGAACGUAAGACUGCUAGAUUGGACACUAUUUUGUUCUCACAGACACAAUUUUUUACAUUGAUGUUUGUACUUUGGUGUAAAGCUCAUAUGUGAGAAUGCAUACUUGUAACAAGCCAAAUAAUUCAGCACCACAAGAAUCCCACCAGUUUCAUCUCCAAGCUGGUAAUGAACACGGGCCUGGACAUGUUCAAGCAAUUUGUUUGUCUGCAGAAACCAUCUUGCGCUAUUUACAGUCAACUACAGCAAUGUCCUUCCAAUGUUGAUUUUGAUGCAGUAAACACAAG
rnacentral:lncRNA from 1 species